UUCCCAUAUGCCGAUUGAGGUGAUAUUUUCGACUAAAUCGGCGAGCGCAGAGAGGACACUGGUGCGGCUUUUUGCCGGCGUGCGCCAUCAGGUGCUCGUCCAGCGAGGACUUGUGAUUGAAAUCUCUCGGACACAAAUGGCACUUGUACGGUUUCUCGCCUGUGUGCAUUCGGCAGUGAUCCUCAAGGUGUUGCUUCCGCUUGAAUUUCAUGCCGCACGUUUGGCACUGAUGUGGCCUUUCUCCUGUGUGAGCCAUUAGGUGCUCGUCCAGCGAGGACUUGUGAUUGAAAUCACUCGGACACAAAUGGCACUUGUACGGUUUCUCGCCUGUGUGCAUUCGGCAGUGAUCCUCAAGGUGUUGCUUCCGCUUGAAUUUCAUGCCGCACGUUUGGCACUGAUGCGGCCUUUCUCUUGUGUGAGCCAUUAGGUGCUCGUCCAGCGAGGACUUGUGAUUGAAAUCACUCGGACACAAAUGGCACUUGUACGGUUUCUCGCCUGUGUGCAUUCGGCAGUGAUCCUCAAGGUGUUGCUUCCGCUUGAAUUUCAUGCCGCCCGAUCGGUACUGAUGGGGCCUUUCACAAGUGUGAAUAAGCAAGUGUGUUUUGCAGGCUUGAGCUCUUCGUGCAAAUCUUUCUACACACUUGACAAUGUUUUGACGAGUUGCUGGUGUAUUCCCUG